rnacentral:lncRNA from 1 species
AAUUGAACACCACAGUAGGAACUGUGUGAUGAAUCUUGAUGCCCUAGAAAUAUAGCAACCUACUGUUUGCUGAUGGGAACAAUGAGCAUACAGAUUCUAGCAACUUUCCAGCCAUACGAGUGGGUUGGCCUUUGAGGGGUCACUUUCACAAGCCAUACUUACAGUUGCACUACUUUGGUGGUGCUAAUUUAAAGUUGAAGCUAGAUAACAAACGACUGUAGGGCUUACAUAUAUAUAUAUAUAUACAUUAAAUAAAACCUUUUGAUGAUUACUGCAUAACACAAAAUAGGAAGAUCCCCACCAAGUUGCCCCUAACGGAUUGAUGUAGCAUAGUUCUGAUAUGAAUGAGUCAAACAAAUUCUCAAGCGGCAGAUGCCAGUCUUAAGAUUUUUCACCUGAAAUAAACAUGUGGAUGAAACCAUUGAAGUAUAAGCUCUUUUCCUUAGAACAGCAUGUCAUAUGAAAUACGAAUGAAGCAUAGUAAACACGCUGUCGUGUCGAAUAGAAUAAUUGCAUCUGAUCAUUAUUAUCUGGCUUGGCUCUUUACAGGUCAGGUGUUCGUAAAUUUUUGUACCAGAUGCUUGGCAUUCAGAUACAGAAUACUGGAAGCAGUGAGCAACGUUAAAUGUAUAAUUGGUUCUAAUGAAAUUAGUAGAGACGUCCUGAAGAGAUCACAAGAACAGGAUCUCGAGUCACUCAACUUGGCGGAUAAGAAUCAGAGUCCAGAAACUAUUAUACUUAAGUUUCACACAGUCAUCCUCCUUAUCCUAUGUUAUACACACGUCACAUCAAACAAUACAGCCCACCCUUUCAAUCAUAGUCAAAAGGAUAUGUCCUUGAAAUAAUUUAUCAUCGCUUCACCUGACAUAACUUGCAUUAUGUACCAAAGGCUACAGGAGCUGCUUUACAAAAGAAGGAAGCAAUACAUGUCCUAUAACAUUUUGACUACCGGCCUAAAUAAUGCUGGAUGUGAUAUGGUGCAAGCUGCGAACGAUGACAGUGACUGUUCAAUAUAAUAGAAUAACAAUCCACUCACAUCAAUGUCGUUAGUCAGCAUCUCAGAAAGAGUUCUAAAUGUUAGGAGUUACUCAGUACCAUUCUUAAUUGUAUUAGCACUGAUUUGCAGAUCUACCUAAAGCAUUGAAAACAAUGAUAUAUCUCUAAGACUAUAUAAUAGAACUCGCACCCGUUUCUGGAUAUUAUUUCAGAUAAGUUGGUGGCAUAGUUUUCUUGUUCUUUUCUUAUAUUAAAAAAAUACUGAGUUAAUCACAAACUUUUUUCCUGAUAAUCAUAUUGUUCGUUAGGAUGUACUGAGUGAAAUCUGAAGAACACCAGAACAAGGCAUGAACUACAGUGUCAGAAAACAAAACCAUGGAAUGGAUCAAUCAUUUAAUCAAACUCAAACGCUUGUUAGACCUAGGAGGAACAUAAUUCCAACGCUGUGUAUACUUGAGUACUUAACCACCCAUCUAAAGGACCAAAAUAAAACGUAGUUGGACAAUUGGGUCUGCAUGCAUGACAAAAUCGAUUGAACUACUGUCAAGACCUGUCAGGGCCCAAGGGGGCUGCGGCAAGGAGCAUCAGCAAGGAGCCCAGGUCAAAGGAUAAGGAGAUUAAUUGAGAUUAUCUAGGAAAUUAGUUGAGAUUAUCUAGGAAGGUUAUUAGUUAGUAAUUUGUUGAGAGUUUUUUGGAGUUUUAAGGAGAUAAGCAUCUUUAGCUAGAUAGGGACGGCCAGCCGGCCAAUUUAUGUAAUUAAUGGAUAAGAAAUAAAAUAAGCAAGAUAUUAGAAGAAAAUCCCUUCUCUCUUGCCGGCCGUGGGCAAAGUCCUGCGGCCGGCCUCCCCAGCACCCCUAACCAUAGCCAUCGCCCUCUAACCCUCGCCGCCAUCUGCCGCUCUACAGACUUGGUUUAGUUAGUUUUCCAGUCCUUUUCUGAAAAGAUCUGAGAAUCCUACCAGGUAAACACCAUAUAUUGGGUGGUGUUAGAGUAUUAGGCCUGUUAAGGCUAGGCCCAUGUGACCCAUGUAAACACUAUAUAGCUACCCUGUUGGGUUAGCCCUAAUACAUAGAAUAUUCACUCCAAUAUGGUAUCAGCCCAGUUUCCCUCCCUACAGCCGCUGCUGCCCUACCCUAGGGUUUCAGCCGCCGCCGCCCUAUCCUAGGGUUUCAGCCGUCGCCGCCAGGCUCCAGCCUAGGGUUUCUGGCGCCGCCGGCCUCCAUCUGUCGCCCCUGCUGCCUGGCGCGGGGCCUCUGGCGGCCGCCGGCUGACUGGCGUUCUACGUCGCGCGCCCCUGCUGCACCGCCUGGCCGCGUCCAGCCGCGACCCAAUCACCGCCGUGCGCGUCCUCGGCCGCGCCGAGUCCGGCCGCGCCGCCCCGGGUUGUGCCGCCGCCGCCACUUCUUCCCCGGCGCCCAUGGCUGGUCAGCAGCGCCCCUCUCUCUCCACCUCCUCCUUCCCUCCCCUCUCCUCCUGGGUGCGCGCCGCCUCCCCUGGCCGGCGCGCCGUCGUGCCCCACCCCCUGCCAGCCGCCACUGCCUCCCCUGCUGGCGCGCCAUCCCUGGUGCCUGGCCCGUGGGGGUCGGAUCCUGUCUCCCCUGCCCUCCUGCCCGCGUGGGGGGCUGAGCCUAGCGCCGCCGGUGGGGCCCCCACUGCUGCAGGCGCCGCCUCGGCUCUUGCGGCCGUCGCGGAUGUGGUUCCGGCAGGAACUGCCGGUCUGGAGGAUCCCAACCCGCCACCGCCAAUCCCCCCGUCGCUGGUUGUCGAUCUGCCGCCUCCUCCGCCGGUCACCCACCAGGGAUACACUAUCGCCACCCUCACCGCUGCCCGUGCGGAGCAUGAUGCUCGACAGGCUCGCUUGCGGGAAGCGGCCCUCGCGUGGGAGCGCGAGCGCGAGGCCGCCGAUGCUAUCGCUGCUCAAAUUGCCGCGGCGGAACAACACCUCGCCUCGCCUGCGGCCCACGACGGCGGUGCCACCUCCUCCGACACCAUGGGCGGCGUGUAUGGCGUCCCGACCGCACCGACAGUCGGGACCGGGCCUCGCACCAUCCCCACGGUGCUCUGGCAUGACCCGGCUGACCUGCUCGUGGCUCAGCUCCACCUACAGGCUGGGAGUGUCCAGAACAUUCGCCUCAUGGUUCCGGUCGUCCUGGAGUCUGAGUCGCCAUCCUACACGCGCUGGCGGGACUUACUUCUCCUCACCCUUCGCCGCUACGCCCUAGAUGACCACGUCCUCUGCGACCCCACUGGCGUGGCGCCGACUGCUGCGUGGGUGCGCCUCGACAGCAUCGUUCUCACCUAGAUCGUGGGGACGAUCUCCGUCGACCUCCACAGCCUCCUCCGGAACCUUCCGCACGCUCGGGCUGCUUGGCUUGCCAUCGAGGGCCAGUUCCUGGGCAACGCCGAGGCCCGGGCUCUCCGUCUCGACGCAGCCUUCCGCACCUUCGUCCAGGGAGACCUCGGCAUCAGCGAGUACUGCCGCAAGAUGAAGACCAUGGCGGACUCACUUGGCGAUCUGGGCUGCCCCGUGGAGGACCGCAUCCUCGUCCUCAACGUCCUCCGCGGCCUCAACGAUCGCUACACCCACCUCCGGUCGUUGAUCAUGCGUCAGCGCCCCUUCCCUACCUUCCUCCAGGUCCGCGACGACCUCGCCCUGGAGGAGAUCACUCUGGGUGCUCAGGUUGCAUCGAUCUCCGGCCCGGGGUCCUCGUCCUCCUCGAUAGCACUGGCGGCCUUCACCCCGGCCCGUCCUCCUACUCUGUCACAGUCUGCCAUUGGCCCUCGUCCUCCCGGGCCGAGCAUGGGUGGUGGGGGUCGAGGUGGCGGAGGCGGGGGCGGUGGUGGUCGUCGCCGCCGUGGUGGCCGCAGUGGUGGUGAGGGUGGCUCCGGCGGUGGUGCCCGUGGCAACGCACCGAAGCCGGGACCCCCGCAGGGUGCGCCUUGGCCCACUUUUCACCACCCGUGGUCCGGUCGCAUCUCCAUGUGGCCGUUCCAGGGGCCCGGUUCUGACGCUCGUCCCCCGACGGUCAUGUUCGCUGGUGCGCAAUCGGGGUUCACCUCACCGUCGGGGUUCGCCCUCGCCUCUCCAUCGCCCUGGCCCUCGACGCCUGCCGUUUCGUCGUGGCCCACGUCGCCGGCUACGCCACCAUCCGGGCUGAUUGAUUGGGACGCGGCCGCCCUGGCUACUUUCCAGACUCCCACUCAGACUCCGCCGAUGGGUCCCGAGUGGAUUGCGGACACCGGUGCUACCUACCACACCACUCCCAACCCUGGUAUACUCACCUCUGUUCGCCCUCCUUCUUCCUCUCUCCCUUCAUCCAUCAUGGUGGCGAAUGGCUCGUGUCUUCCUGUCACAUCUGUGGGUGCCGCCGGCUCUCCCGGCUCUUUUCGCAUUCCCGAUGUUCUUGUCGCCCCUUCUUUGGUCCACAAUUUUCUUUCUAUUCGUCGGUUUACUGCUGAUAAUUCUUGUUCUGUCGAGUUUGACUCUUCUAGUCUUACUGUGAAGGACUCGGCAACUCGGCGCCCCCUCCUCCGAUGUGACAGCACGGGCCCCCUCUACACCCUUCGGCUUCGCACGCUACAUCUUCUUCGUCUUCGUCACCUGACACAGCUGUUGUUUUUGCCGCCACCACAUCUACUACUACCUGGCAUCGUCGCCUUGGACACCCCGGACGUGAUGCCUUUCUUCAGCUUACUCGUAGUGCCACUAUCCAAUGUACUCGAUCUCCUGAGGAGCAUCUAUGUCAUGCAUGCCAGUUAGGCCGCCAUGUUCGUCUUCCGUUUUCCUCUUCUUCCUCGCAUGAUACUCAUGUUUUUGAUCUUGUACACUGUGAUUUGUGGACUUCUCCCAUUACCAGUAUGUCGGGUUACAAAUACUAUCUUGUCGUGCUUGAUGAUUUUUCUCAUUAUGUGUGGACUUUCCCGCUGCGUGCCAAGUCUGAGACUUUCCCCACCCUCUGCCACUUCUUCGCCUGGGUGUCCACUCAGUUCGGCCUCACCAUUAAGGCCGUUCAGUGUGACAACAGUCGGGAGUUCGAUAACUCUGCCUCCCGUGACUUCUUUCUCUCCCACAGCAUGCUGUUACAGAUGUCUUGCCCAUAUACCUCCCCCCAGAAUGGCAAGGCUGAGCGCAUGAUCCGCACGACCAACGACACCAUCCGGACUCUUCUUCUCCAGGCGCACCUACCGCCACGUUUCUGGGUCGAGGCCCUACACACCUCUACCUACCUUCUCAACCGUCUACCUUCCACUGCGUGCCCGGCCCCCACUCCUCACUAGGCACUCUUCGGUACCCCUCCACGCUAUGACCACCUCCGUGUCUUCGGGUGUGCUUGCUAUCCGAACACUGCGGCCACUGCUCCUCACAAGCUAGCACCCCGCUCCACCCUCUGUGUGUUUCUCAGGUACUCCCCGGACCACAAGGGCUACCGCUGCUUUGACCUCUCCUCUCGUCGUGUUCUCAUCUCUCACAUGUGGUGUUUGAUGAGUCCGUUUUUCCCUACUCCACCACCACACCACCCUCCUCCGACCCUGACCCUGACCUCUUCACUCCCUUUCCGACUGACACGGUGGUCGAGCCACCUAUCCUUCCUCUCCCUGCAGGUACCCACUCACCACAUGUCGGUCCUACUUCCAGCCCGAUGCCUUGCCCGGGUCCGGUCGUGUAGCCUACGGCGGUGUCGCCUCUCCGCGGAGCCUUGUCUCCGAUCGCCCCCGGGCCGAGCGGGGGUGGUGGGACUGCACCGCCUGCAGAGCCGUCGGUUCCGACCCCUCUGGCCCGCUUCGCCCAGCCAGUGCGGGUCUACCAGCGCCAGCCGCCGCCGCCGGGGUUCGAACCUCCGCCACCGCCGUCGCUGCCCCGCCGCCGUCACCACCGGUGGCCCAGUCCCCGCCAGGGACACCUACACCUCCGCUGCGGCCUCCUGCGGCACGUGUCGAGACGCCGAUGUACCACCCAUCUCUCCUUCACCGCGACCCAUGGCAUGUCCACCCGAUGGUGACGCGGAACGCGGCUGGUACCCUGCCGCCUCGUGUCCUGGCGGCCACGUCCGGAGACUCGCAGGUUUCUCCGGUACCCUCCUCCGUCCGCACCGCCCUGCAGGACCCCCACUGGCGUCAGGCGAUGGAGGAGGAGUACACGGCGCUCAUCGCUAACCAGACGUGGGAUCUGGUGCCCCGUCCGCCCGGCACCAACGUCGUCACCAGCAAGUGGAUCUGGACACACAAGCGGCGGGCUGAUGGUACCCUAGAGCGGUACAAGGCUCGCUGGGUUCUUCGGGGCUUCACUCAGCGCCCCGGAGUCGACUACGAUGAGACCUUUAGCCCGGUUGUGAAGUCGGCCACCGUCCGCACGGUGCUCUCGCUGGCCCUCGCUCGCUCCUGGCCAGUUCACCAGCUCGACGUCAAGAAUGCCUUCCUACACGGUGCCCUCACUGAGACCGUAUAGUGUUGUCAGCCUGCGGGGUUCGUGGACUCCUCUCGCCCUGACAUGGUCUGUCGGCUCAACAGGUCCCUCUACGGUCUCAAGCAGGCCCCUCGGGCGUGGCACUCCAGGCUGGCUACGUUCCUGGUGACACUGGGCUUCGUGGAGGCCAAGUCAGACACGUCUCUGUUCGUCCACCAUCAUGGCGCAGAGACUGCCUACUUGCUACUCUACGUGGAUGACAUUGUCCUCACCGCCUCCAGUCCGUCACUUCUUUGCCGCUUCGUCGACGCCCUUCAGCGGGAGUUUCCGGUCAAAGAUCUGGGCGUGCUUCACCAUUUCCUGGGGGUCACUGCUGAGUCUCGCCCCUCAGGACUCCUCCUUCACCAGCGACAGUAUACUCUUGACAUUCUGGAGCGGGCCCAGAUGAGUGACUGCAAGCCCUGCUCCACCCCUGUCGACACGCAGGCCAAGCUCUCUGAGGCCACGGGUGACCUAGUCGUGGACCCCACAAACUACAGGAGUCUUGUCGGUGCCCUUCAGUACCUCACAUUCACCAGGCCGGACAUCUCCUAUGCCGUGCAGCAGGUCUGCCUCCAUAUGCACGACCCCUGGGAGCCCCACCUUGCGGCUCUCAAGCGCCUCCUCCGCUACCUCCGGGGCACCGUCGACUACGGGCUGCUUCUUCACCGGUCUACCUCCUCCGAGCUGGUCGUCUACACUGACGCUGACUGGGCCGGGUGCCCAGACACUCGGCGCUCCACCUCCGGCUACGCCGUCUUCUUAGGCGGCAACCUAGUUUCCUGGUCGUCGAAGCGCCAGUCGGUCGUUUCCCGCUCAAGUGCAGAGGCGGAGUACCGUGCCGUGGCCAACGGCGUGGCGGAAGCUGCCUGGCUCAGGCAGCUCCUCGCCGAGCUUCACAGUCCCCUCUCCAGGAGCACGUUGGUCUACUGCGACAACGUUAGCGCGGUUUACCUCUCCACCAACCCAGUGUAGCACCAGCGGACCAAGCAUGUAGAGAUCGAUCUACACUUCGUCCGCGAUUAUGUCACUGUCGGUGCUGUUCGGGUCCUCCACGUCCCGACCACCUCCCAGUUUGCUGACAUCUUCACCAAGGGUCUUCCGUCCUCGACCUUCGCCGAGUUUCGCUCCAGCCUCAACAUCAGUAGUGGCUAGUUGAGUCUGUGGGGGGAUCCUUUUGUGUGAUGUACUUCUUCCUUUUGAGUCCAGUCUGUGUACUCCGCUACAUCGAUAGUCUAGACUGCGGGGGGGGGGUGUUAGAGUAUUCCUAUUGUGUGAUGUACUUCUUCUUUUUGAGUCCAGUCUGUGUACUCCGCUGCGUCGGUAGUCCAGACUGCGGGGGGGUGUUAGAGUAUUAGGCCUGUUAAGGCUAGGCCCAUGUGGCCCAUGUAAACACUAUAUAGCUACCCUGUUGGGUUAGCCCUAAUACAUAGAAUAUUCACUCCAAUAGGUGGCAUAUACUUGACCUAGCAGUAAACCUGUAUGGAGUAUACAAAGACCUUACAUAGCUACUACACAGGCCCGGCCCUGAGGGUAGGCAGGGUAUGCCGCCGCUCAGGGCCCUCGAAGUCAGUAGGGCCCCUAGUCUGGCCUAAAUAAAUAUAUACUCUUAUAUACAUAUGUACUGUAUAUACUUAUUAUAUUCCAAAAAUCCCUAGCCACCACUCUUAUAUAUACGGCUGAAAGAAGCUUCUCAAAAUUAAAGUUACUGAAAAAUUAUUGAAGAUCAGCAAUGAGUCAAGAAAUGUUAGAACAAAUUUUAUAUACUUAUUCUAUUGGAUGAUAUCGAUAUCAAUAGUAUAAUCGAUGAUUUUGUAUCAAAAAAUGUUAGUAGAAAUUUUAUAAGAUGAGAAGUGACAAGUUAUAUGUAGUUUUUACCGAUAUAUGUUUAGUAGAUGUGUAAAUGAUACAUACAUAUAUAGUUAUAUGGGGGUCUAUAUAUAUUUUUUUUUGCUUAGGGCCCCCGAAAUGUGAGGACCGGCCCUACUACUACAGAGAAUAUCAAUACCGUGAUAUUUGGAUCAAAUGUUGUUGUAUAUUACUUGAACAGUGAGGUAACAUUGUCAGCGUAAUUGUUAGGGUUUCCAUGUAUACCCCUAUUGUAAUGGGCUUCGGCCCACAUAAUUCAUCUAUUAAUACAUGCUCAACUCUAAGUAGGGUUAGGGUUUUCUCCCACUCCAACACGGUAUCUAGCUAAGUCUCUCUUCCCCCACCCUCUCUCUCUCCCCUCCACCCAGCCACCACCAGCCUCACCCCCGAUCACGGCCAGCCCCAACCUCCCCUGUGCCUGCCUCCCCCGCCACCAACCCCAUGGCCGGCGGGCGUACCCCUCAUUUCCCCACCGCCGCUGGCGACCUUCCUCUUCUCUCGAACGUCGACACCCAUGUCCCCAUGGAUGUCGCCGCCUCCCCCACACGUGGGCACUGCUCUCACCGACCUCGUCGGCCCCGCUACAAGCACGGUGGGCACCGCUGCAUCCCCCAUCCGUGCCCCAACCGUCGCCAGCACAGCUCCCCGCACCUUUGUCGCCCUACACCCAGCCGGCUGGCCAGCACGUCUUCAGUGCCGCCCUCGCUGGUGCACUCAUCGACCAUGUCCUCAACGACACUAUCGCAUCAAUGUCUCCAUUCUGGCACCAAAUGGACAGCGAUGUCCUCUCAUAGCUCAUUGGCAUACUCACCGUCGAGCUCUAGGACAUCGUCAGCAAGCGAGAGGCACCACUCACCAAGCCUGGGUCGCCCUCGAGGCCGAGUUUCUCGGCAACCGAGAGACCCGCUCUCUCCACCUCAACACAUCCUUCCGCAUUUACUCUCAGGAGGACCUCUCUGUCAGCGAGUACUGCCAUCGGAUGAAGGACAUGGCAUACUCCCUCCGCAAUCUCGGUGAGCCUGUCCUCGACCGCACCCUCGUCCUCAACCUUCUGUGUGGCCUCAGCCGACGCUACAACCACCAAAGGGCCUUCAUCAAGCAGACUGCACCAUUCCCCUCCUUGCACCAUGGACGUUAAGCCACCCGCGACCACCACAGCGCUCUACAACGCAUCCCCCGGCGGCCCCGGUGGCCUAGGCCCUCACCCUCCGUCGACGGGGAACCUGCGCGUCCUCCCACCGCCCCUUAGAGCUCCUCGUCAGUCCCCUGGAUCUGAGUCACUGAUGGUGGUCGCCGGCCCUGCAAGAAUGCCUAUGGAGGCGGGGACUCUACCCAUGGUGGCCCUACCAAUCGUGGCGGCGACCCGGCGUGGCCUUCGUUCUACAACCCCUAGACCGAGACCAGCUCCAUGUGGCCGGGCCCGGCAAUAGGUGCCUCUUCGCCGUGUCCCUCACAUCUGGCUCACCUGACGACGCCACCCUACGGUGCCCCUGCCUUCGGCGACGCCGUCUCCGCCUUUCCUUUCGCCUCCAGGGACCCCUACCUCAACACCUUGGUCCCCGUUGGCUAGAGGCUGGGACCAAAUCUCCCUCGCCGCCUCGUUCGGUACCGUGGCGCUGACUCCUCUCUUCACCGACUAGGUGGUCAACUCCGACGCCUCCGACCACACCACUCCUACUGCCAGCACGUUAUCUCGCUCCCAUCCCCCCAUGGCCCCAUCCCUCCCAUCAUUCCUCUAUCAUUGUGGUGAAUAGUUCCACCCUCUCGGUCACCUCAGUAUGUGACUCGAUUCUUCCGGGACUGUUAUAUCUCAACGGCGUUCUCGUUGCCCCUUAUAUCAUGCAAAACCUUCUUUCAGUUCGUCGAUUCACCACCGACAACUCAUGUUCCAUUGAGUUUGACCCAUUUGGUUUAUUUGUGAAGGAUCUGGCUACCAGAACCCUUCUCGCCCGAUGUGACAGCUCGGGGCUGCUGUAUACGGUCCGCCAUCCACCUCCUCCGCUGGCGCAUCCUCGUCAUCUGCUUUGGCUUCUACCACCACUUGGCAUCGUCGUCUCGGGCACCCUGGACCCGACGUCAUGUCCAAGCUCUCUAGUCGUUUAGAUAUAUCUUGUAGCAAGGUCCAUUUUGAUAGUCUUUGCCAUGCUUGUCAGCUAGGUCGCCAUGCUCGUCUUCCUUUCUCUACUUCCACUUCUCGGGUAGAUCAGGCCUUUGAUCUUGUACACUGUGAUCUUUGGACGUCGCCCACACAAACUUCGCCAGCGCCACCAGUAUGUUCGGUGUCAGCCGAUGCAGUUGAACACCGAACGCUCUAAGACCUCCAUGAGAAACCGAUGGCAGGGCGGUCGAGGUCCAACGUCGAAAGAUGCUACGAAGACCACGAUUUCCUCCUUGGGGUUAGGUGACGUCUCCGAUCCAGGAACACGACCAAUCAUCGCCCCGAAAAAACCCAAUUUUUGGAAUUUGAGAGCACCUAGAGGGGGGUGAAUAGUUGAUGCCUGCAAAACACAACUUCAAACACAAACUUGGCCCAAAUAAAUGGUUGGAUCAAAAUUAAGCCAAGUUGGAGUGAGAAGAAGAGAGAAAGUCAUCUUGAUUGCUCUUUCAAGAUAUGGAAUAGACUAAGGCCCGUUUGUUUCCCUUCAUUUUGAGGAAUUGGAAUCUAACUAAUAGAGUAGGCUAUUUUUUUAGAAUAUGACAUUCCACAACUUUCCAAAGUUUAUAUAUAAGUCUAUCUCAAAUUCAUGGGGCGAGAGAUGGAAAUUGAUUUUAUAGAUUUACAUGCUACUUUUCUAAUGUAGAACUUAUAGCACACUCUUCCACUUGCUUCUCUAUAGCAUAAGUGUAGUGUAUAACUAUCUCUCUCAUAUGAUUUAGGAUAAUAUACAAAUAAAUUAAGUUAAUUAGUUUAUGUCUAAAUUAUGAUUAUUAGAAUGUAAUUCAAUUCCAACGAAACAAACGGGCCAUAAGAGCAAUAUUGCAAGUGAAUUUGGAGAACUCAAAUUCAAACGGUGUCAGUAGCCAUUUCUUGUAAUGACGCUCGACCCGGGGACGUCGUCCACGACCCGGAUACACAGGGUCAUUUUCGUUAACACCAUGAUAAAAUCUCUCACAGGUAGUGUACCACUUUACUAGACCAUAUCAAUCCAGGAACUUUAUGACUAUGGGUGGGGGAUGGAAAUUAAUUUUAUAUAUCACCAGACUAUGUUUCUACUCUACAACUUAUAACUUGCUCUUCGGCUGGCUCCGCUGUACUAGAAAUGUAGCACAUAAAUAUCUCUCUCAUAUGACCAAUAGUAGUAUACAAAUAUACUCUGCAUAAAAUCAUAUUAGAGCCUAUUUGGAUUCCAUGAAUUAAAACCAAUAUCUAGAAAGUGUUUCCAAUUUUAUUAUUAGAUUAUUUUCCAAUUCCUUGGAAUCAAAAAAGAGUCUUAGCUUAAUUAAUAUGUGCCUAAAUUAUGAUUCUUAUAAUGGAAUUCAAUUUCAAGUAUCCAAACCGGGCCUAAGUGAAAAACGUACUUCAGCUAUCCCAGCGGCUCCCCUCAUCCCCUAUCCAAUACUCUAUUUUAAACUUCAUUCUUCAAACAGCACAAUCUCCCCUAUUUUACGCGGUCGACCGAAGACAACCUUAAGCAUUGUUGUGAACAAAAAUAAACUGGCGUGGCUGUAAAAUUUCAGGGUCAAUUACUGGCACAGGCACACAAAAACAGUUAUUACGCGCCGAGCCAAUCCUGAGCCCACCACAAAGCUAAGCCAAAGUCAUGCAUCAAUCAACGCAACAAGUGGUGAACCGCAUGAUGACCAGAGGCGGGCGAUGUAAUCACAGCCGGAUACGAAUGUCACAAUGCGCUCACAAAAUCAGCGCCGCGCAAUCAUCGGGAGCUGUAAGCUUCACGCACUCGGCCGGAGACGAAAGCUGAGGAGGGGAUGGAAUGGAACGCACCAGGGAUCGAAGGGAGGAAGUACCAGUCCCGCCCCUAACGGCAGCGGCCGCUAAUGGGGCUCCUCCUCACAAGCCGGGGGAUCCCCUCCUCGCCAGCCCCUCCGGAUCGAACCGCGCGGGAUCCGGGAAAGAGUGGGUGUGGGACUGUGGGUGCAGCGUCUGAGCGAGGGCUUGGAGAGUUCGCUGCUCGCCUGCGGCCUGCGCGCGCGCGCCGGCCGUGGGAUUGGAUUGAGGGGAGCAGCACACAAGCACCACGCGAUGGGCUUUCGUGGUUCGGCAAGUCCUCGGCGGAAAGGCCUGGCCUGGUUGGUGGCAGGUCAUCC